GCGUGGGAGAAGGCUCGGUUGUAAUCUUGGGACAGAGGUCCUGAAUAGCCACGGUAACUCUGCCACGCCCGUACAGUGGCAGCUUGCCGGAUUUAUUGGGUUUAGCGUAGGUGUAAGUCGGUGAAAUACCCGCUACCGGGGUGCACUGUGCUGAGUGGGAGGUGCGGAAUGAGUGUACGGUAAAUGCAUAAUAUUCAAAACACCGUGCAAGGACUAGUGCGGGGAUCAAACAGGAUUAGAUACCCUGGUAGUCCGCACAGUAACGAUGCACUCGUGUUCGCAAGAAACCGAUAAGGCACCUGGGGUCGCCGGCAACGGAAAAAGGAUGACGGGCGCAAGCGGUGGAUGGGUUAAUUCAUCAGAACUCGCUGAAGUGCGGUGAUGC
rnacentral:rRNA from 1 species